rnacentral:rRNA from 1 species
GUCCUUUUGUUUAUAAAUAUAAGGUCUGGCCUGCCCGAUGAUUUAUUUGAAUGGCCGCGGUAUUUUANCCCGUGCUAAGGUAGCAUAAUCAUUUGUCUUUUAAUUAAAGGCUUGAAUGAAUGGUCGGACGAAGUAUUUUCUUUCUUUGAUUUAUUUGAAUAAUUUAACUUUUAGGUUAAAAGGCCUAAAUCUUUUUAGGGGACGAGAAGACCCUAUAGAUCUUUAAGUGCGAUUUUUGAGAGUUGGUUUAGGGAAUGGUAUAUCUUAAUAUAAUUGUAUUUUUGGUUGGGGUGACUGUGGAAUUUCAAUAACUUCCAUUAUUUGAUAUCAUUGAUUAAUGUAUUUUUGAUCCAUUAUUAGUGAUUAUAAGAUUAAGUUACCUUAGGGAUAACAGCGUAAUUUCUUCGGAGAGUUCUUAUUGAUGAAGGAGUUUGCGACCUCGAUGUUGGAUUAAAAUUAGUAAUGGGUGUAGAAGUUCAUUAACUAGGUCUGUUCGACCUUUAAUUUUUU